GCAAAUAAAUUUAUAUAUAUUUAUGUCACCCGAUCGACAAUGUCGGGUGACAUAUUGCUUUUCCUCUGUUUCUUUUUCUGUAUUAUUAUUAUUAUACUUCCACCUAUUUUGUCCGGCAGUUUUCUCGGAGCCAAUGGAACCAAUCUUAAUGAUAGUUAACUAUAUUGAGGAACACCAAAUUUCGGGUUGCAGUAGGGUCUAAGACCAUAAAAAAUGGCUGCCGUUACCAUGGAAACGGAACAAUUGUGAAAAAUUCCAGAUUUUGGUUUUAAGGAAUUAUUUGGAGUUGCUUUAACUUAGAAUCGUAAUAUUUUGAUACAAUGUAGGUGGCGGGCAUAUACUGGUUUUGGAUGAUUUUGGCAAUCAUUGGAACUAUCAUGUUGCCAUGGAAACUACACCAAAAAUUUCCAAAAUAUCAAAAUGCUCCAAAUUUAAUAAAACUCCACAGUAACGAUGAGCAACAUUAGUAGAUGUGGAAUUUGGCGUUGGAAUUUCGAAAAUGUCUGCCGUUACCAUGGAAACAAGUCAAAAAUGGUCAAAAUGCUUCAAAAACCUUAAAGUGGCAUUUACUUUCAUAAAAUGGUAGGUCAAAUCCAUUGAAACUUUGAUGGUAUGUUCCCUCCCAUGUACCAAUGUGGUAUCUGCCAUUAGAAAUUUGGAAUGGUAUCUGUUACCAUAGAAACCAGCCAAAAUGUCAAAAAUUUCAAAAUGCUCCAAAAUUGAUGAAACUUACUAUAUUUGUUGAUUGUCAAGUCUACAUGAGACUUUUGAAGUUGGAAUUUCCAAAAUGGCCACCGUUGCCAUGGAAACUGCAGAAAUGUCAAAUAUUUUCAAAAUGC
rnacentral:lncRNA from 1 species